UCUUUGGUAGUAUAGUGGUAAGUAUUCCUGCCUGUCAAUUGAUUGAGCGCGGGCGACUGGGGUUCAAUUCCCCGCCAAAGAG